CCUGACAAAAGUACCACAAGCUUCUGUAUUUGUCCCUAUACGGGUUUCACGUAGAUACUGAGAAAGAACGGAAAUUCCAGAACAUCCCAUCGAAGUUGCAAUAAAGCAGCGUGCGAGAACCUCGGAGUUAGCACGGCUCAAAACUCAAGCUCCGUUGCUCCAUAUUCCACACAGCGGGAAGGAUCAGUAGGGAAGAAGUACUGGCACUUUGUCAUCAGUCUUUUUAGGCCUUGAAUAUACUUGCGUUGCGUUUCAUCGUUCAG